rnacentral:rRNA from 1 species
GAUGAACGCUGGCGGCGUGCCUAAUACAUGCAAGUCGAGCGAACGGACGAGAAGCUUGCUUUUCUGAUGUUAGCGGCGGACGGGUGAGUAACACGUGGAUAACCUACCUAUAAGACUGGGAUAACUUCGGGAAACCGGAGCUAAUACCGGAUAAUAUUUUGAACCGCAUGGUUCAAAAGUGAAAGACGGUCUUGCUGUCACUUAUAGAUGGAUCCGCGCUGCAUUAGCUAGUUGGUAAGGUAACGGCUUACCAAGGCAACGAUGCAUAGCCGACCUGAGAGGCUGAGCGACCACACUGGACCUCAGUCACGGUCCAGUCUCCUACGGGAGGCAGCAGUAGGGAAUCUUCCGCAAUGGGCGCAAGCCUGACGGAGCCACGCCGCGUGAGUGAUGAAGCUCUUCGGAUCUUAAAACUCUGUUAUUAGGGAAGAACAUAUGUGUAAGUAACUGUGCACAUCUUGACGGUACCUAAUCAGAAAGCCACGGCUAACUACGUG